rnacentral:rRNA from 1 species
GAUGAACGCUGGCGGCGUGCCUAAUACAUGCAAGUCGAGCGAACGGACGAGAAGCUUGCUUCUCUGAUGUUAGCGGCGGACGGGUGAGUAACACGUGGAUAACCUACCUAUAAGACUGGGAUAACUUCGGGAAACCGUAGCUAAUACCGGAUAAUAUUUUGAACCGCAUGGUUCAAAAGUGAAAGACGGUCUUGCUGUCACUUAUAGAUGGAUCCGCGCUGCAUUAGCUAGUUGGUAAGGUAACGGCUUACCAAGGCAACGAUGCAUAGCCGACCUGAGAGGGGGAUCGGCCACACUGGAACUGGGACCCGGCCCAGCUCCCUACGGGAGGCAGCGGUAGGGAAUCUUCCGCAAUGGCGAAAGCCUGACGGAGCAACGCCGCGUGAGUGAUGAAGGUCUUCGGAUCGUAAAACUCUGUUAUUAGGGAAGAACAUAUGUGUAAGUAACUGUGCACAUCUUGACGGUACCUAAUCAGAAAGCCACGGCUAACUACGUG